CAAUGUUUGUGAGGGGAAAAUGUUGCAUUCUAUGGCAAAAAUUGCAAGAUAUCGCGAACCUUUUUUCAUGGCGUUAGUGUACUUCCGGGUCAUCGUCCAGGUAACUUAAAACAACAAACACUGCGUGUUUUCACCCGUUGGCGACGUUCAUUGAAUUUUCCUUCGAUAAUUGGUUUGAAAUACAAACACAUUAAAUCUGUUCUUGAUUCUCCUCCAUGA